rnacentral:rRNA from 1 species
UACGGGGGGAGCAAGCGUUGUUCGGAUUUACUGGGCGUAAAGGGCGCGUAGGCGGUCGUGACAAGUCACUUGUGAAAUCUCCGGGCUUAACUCGGAACGGUCAAGUGAUACUGUCGGACUAGAGUACAGAAGGGGCAACUGGAAUUCUCGGUGUAGCGGUGAAAUGCGUAGAUAUCGAGAGGAACACCUGCGGCGAAGGCGGGUUGCUGGGCUGAUACUGACGCUGAGGCGCGAAAGCGCGGGGAGCAAACAGG